GAUGAACGCUGGCGGCGUGCCUAACACAUGCAAGUCGAGCGAUUCUCUUCGGAGAAGAGCGGCGGACGGGUGAGUAACGCGUGGGUAACCUGCCCUAUACACACGGAUAACGUACCGAAAGGUACGCUAAUACGAGAUAAUAUGCUUUAGUCGCAUGGCUGAAGUAUCAAAGCUCCGGCGGUAUAGGAUGGACCCGCGUCUGAUUAGCUAGUUGGUAAGGUAAUGGCUUACCAAGGCGACGAUCAGUAGCCGACCUGAGAGGGUGAUCGGCCACAUUGGAACUGAGACACGGUCCAAACUCCUACGGGAGGCAGCAGUGGGGAAUAUUGCACAAUGGGCGAUAGCCUGAUGCAGCAACGCCGCGUGAGCGAUGAAGGCCUUCGGGUCGUAAAGCUCUGUCCUCAAGGAAGAUAAUGACGGUACUUGAGGAGGAAGCCCCGGCUAACUACGUGCCAGCCGCCGCGGUAAGAC
rnacentral:rRNA from 1 species